GAUGAACGCUGACAGAAUGCUUAACACAUGCAAGUCAACUUGAAUUUGGGUUUUUAACUUAGGUUUGGGUGGCGGACGGGUGAGUAACGCGUAAAGAACUUGCCUCACAGGUAGGGACAACAUUUGGAAACGAAUGCUAAUACCUAAUAUUAUGAUAAUAGGGCAUCCUAUAAUUAUGAAAGCUAUAAGCGCUGUGAGAGAGCUUUGCGUCCCAUUAGCUAGUUGGAGAGGUAACGGCUCACCAAGGCGAUGAUGGGUAGCCGGCCUGAGAGGGUGAUCGGCCACAAGGGGACUGAGACACGGCCCUUACUCCUACGGGAGGCAGCAGUGGGGAAUAUUGGACAAUGGACCGAGAGUCUGAUCCAGCAAUUCUGUGUGCACGAUGAAGUUUUUCGGAAUGUAAAGUGCUUUCAGUUGGGAAGAAACAAAUGACGGUACCAACAGAAGAAGUGACGGCUAAAUACGUGCCAGCAGCCGCGGUAAUACGUAUGUCACGAGCGUUAUCCGGAUUUAUUGGGCGUAAAGCGCGUCUAGGUGGUUAUGUAAGUCUGAUGUGAAAAUGCAGGGCUCAACUCUGUAUUGCGUUGGAAACUGUAUAACUAGAGUACUGGAGAGGUAAGCGGAACUACAAGUGUAGAGGUGAAAUUCGUAGAUAUCUGUAGGAAUGCCGAUGGGGAAGCCAGCUUACUGGACAGAUACUGACGCUGAAGCGCGAAAGCGUGGGUAGCAAACAGG
rnacentral:rRNA from 1 species